rnacentral:lncRNA from 1 species
GUAGGAACCUGAAUUGUCCGAUUUCAAGGACCAAUCGAUAUCGAAUUGAGUCCAAAACUUGGGGAACAUCAUAAUAUUUUGGGAGGAGUCAUUUGGUGGGUUUUGAGUGAAAUCCAAUCUCUAGAACUAUACAAUACACCAACCACCCCAUUUCAGAACGAACUUCGUACGAACCUGAAUUGUCAAAUUUCAUUGACCAAUCGGUAACGGAUUGAGUCCAAAACUUGGGGAACAUCAUAAUAUUUUGGGAGGAGUCAUUUGGUGGGUUUUGAGUGAAAUCCAAUCUCUAGAACUAUACAAUACACCAACCACCCCAUUUCAGAACGAACUUCGUACGAAACUGAAUUGUCCGAUUUCAAGGACCAAUCGAUAUCGGAUUGAGUCCAAAACUUGGGGAACAUCAUUAUAUUGUGGGAGGAGUCAUUUGGUGGGUUUUUAGUGAAAUCCAAUCUCUAGAACUAUACAAUACACCAACCUCCCAUUUCAGAACGAACUUCGUACGAACCUGAAUUGUCCGAUUUCAAGGACCAAUUGAUAUCGGAUUGAGUCCAAAACUUGGGGAACAUCAUAAUGUUGUGGGAGGAGUCAUUUGGUGGGUUUUGAGAGAAAUCCAAUCUCUAGAACUAUACAAUACACCAACCACCCCAUUUCAGAAUGAACUUCGUAGGAACAUGAAUUGUCCGGUGUCAAGGACCAAUCGAUAUCGGAUUGAGUCCAAAACUUGGGGAACAUCAUAAUAUUGUGGGAGGAGUCAUUUGGUAGGUUUGGAGUGAAAUCCAAUCUCUAGAACUAUACAAUACACCAACCACCCCAUUUCAGAACGAACUUCGUACGAACCUGAAUUGUCCGAUUUC